UGAGGAAUAUUGGACAAUGGAUGGAAAUCUGAUCCAGCCAUGCCGCGUGCAGGAAGACGGCCCUAUGGGUUGUAAACUGCUUUUAUACGGGAGCAAUAAGGUCUAUGCAUAGAUUGAUGAGAGUACCGUAUGAAUAAGCAUCGGCUAACUCCGUGCCAGCAGCCGCGGUAAUACGGAGGAUGCGAGCGUUAUCCGGAUUUAUUGGGUUUAAAGGGUGCGUAGGCGGCUUUGUAAGUCAGCGGUGAAAUUUUGCAGCUUAACUGUAAAAGCGCCGUUGAUACUGUGAAGCUAGGAUUUGGUCGCUGUGGGCGGAAUGUGUGGUGUAGCGGUGAAAUGCAUAGAGAUCACACAGAAUAUCGAUUGCGAAGGCAGCUCACAAAGCCAAUAUUGACGCUGAGGCACGAAAGUGUGGGGAUCAAACA
rnacentral:rRNA from 1 species